UCCCUGGUGGCUCAGAGGCUAAAGUGUCUGCCUUCAAUGUAGGGGACCUGGGUUCGAUCCCUGGGUUGGGAA
rfam:TPA: Bos taurus chromosome 3, whole genome shotgun sequence.